CUGUUUUGGUGAAGUUUUAUUGGAAAACAACUGCAUUCAUCCUUUUAGAUAUGAUUGAUGGGUGUUUUGUGCUACAACAGCAAAGAGAAAAGAAAUUCAGUCUACAUGUACUUUUAUCUUCUGGAGGAUGUGGAGGUUUCAUCAAGUAACUUACUGUUUUUAAGUUUGAGAACACCUGAAUUCACUGAUGCUUGUACCAGAGCUUUGAGAGUAGAACUGUUGCAAUUCAGGUGACAAGCUGUGAAGAAUCCAUAGUUGACUUGGGAUGCACGAAAGCCAGAAAUAAACUUGAUGUCAUGAUGGCAAUCACUGAAAUUUAAUCAAAAUGUAUAUAAAUUAG